rnacentral:rRNA from 1 species
AUGAACGCUGGCGGCGUGCCUCAUACAUGCCAGUCGCGCGAACAGACGAGGAGCUUGCUCCUCUGACGUUAGCGGCGGACGGGUGAGUAACACGUGGAUAACCUACCUAUAAGACUGGGAUAACUUCGGGAAACCGGAGCUAAUACCGGAUAAUAUAUUGAACCGCAUGGUUCAAUAGUGAAAGACGGUUUUGCUGUCACUUAUAGAUGGAUCCGCGCCGCAUUAGCUAGUUGGUAAGGUAACGGCUUACCAAGGCAACGAUGCGUAGCCGACCUGAGAGGGUGAUCGGCCACACUGGAACUGAGACACGGUCCAGACUCCUACGGGAGGCAGCAGUAGGGAAUCUUCCGCAAUGGGCGAAAGCUUGACGGAGCAACGCCGCGUGAGUGAUGAAGGUCUUCGGAUCGUAAAACUCUGUUAUUAGGGAAGAACAAAUGUGUAAGUAACUAUGCACGUCUUGACGGUACCUAAUCAGAAAGCCACGGCUAACUACGUG